rnacentral:rRNA from 1 species
UACGUAGGCAGCGAGCGUUGUUCGGAGUUACUGGGCGUAAAGGGUGUGCAGGCGGUUGUUUAAGUUUGGUGUGAAAUCUCCCGGCUCAACUGGGAGGGUGCGCCGAAUACUGAAUGACUUCGAGUGCGGGAGAGGAGAGUGGAAUUCCUGGUGUAGCGGUGAAAUGCGUAGAUAUCGAUAGGAACACUCAUGGCGAAGGCGAGCUACUGGACAACAUCUGACGCUGAGGCUCGAAGGCCAGGGGAGCAAAAGGG